CAUGUUACUAAAGAUUCUCCCAGAGAAGGGAUAUAAGAUGUUUAGGGUUUCUGAAAGAGAUUUCUUCAGCUGAGUCAAAAUAUUGGAGGUGUUGGUAUCACUCGGGGGAUAAAAUAAUAUGAUUGGAACAUAAGUGGUGGGAGUUAGCUGAUCAAAUACACAGAGUUUGAAGGGUUCUUUUAGAUGAAUUUCUGGGGAAGAUGGUUUGAUGAUUUCUUUUGAAAGAAUCUGAGCCUCAAACUUCAUCAUUUCUUUGUUUUUUUUCCCUCACCAAUAUGUUUACACAAACUCUAUAGGAAGGAGAAAAAUAUAUAAACUAUUGGAGAUCAAAGCCUCCACUAUAAGAUCUUCUAGUUUUGGCUAAACUACUAUAAAAGCCCUUCACUUAGUUUACCUUUGUUAAAGCCCUUCACUAUAAGAUCUCCAAUAAAUCUGCCAAAAAUAUUGUUAAUAAUAGUAAACAAUUGUAUUAAACAUGGAUAAUAAGUGUAGAUAGUAACAUAUUUUGAUGAAUUACCCAAAAAUUCUAUUUUUUUCGAAAAAAUAUAUCGGAUUAGACCGGUUUUUUUUAAUUUAUCGGAUUAAGCUGAUUUUGGAGAGAGUGUGGAUUUGGCAGGAAAGUGCUUCUAGCUAGAUGCACUUUCCUGCUCAGUCAACAAAGCACAUCUAGCUAGACGCAUUUUCCCUAAUGGCUACCCACUCAGCGGUCGAAUUCUAAUGGCUCCCCCCUAACAGUAACUCUUUUCCCCUAUUUAAACCCCAAAUUUCCCACUUUUUCAAUUCACUCUCUACUCUCUCAAUUCAUUCUCAAUCCUCUCUUAAUUCUCACUCAAUUCUCUCAGUUCACUCUCAUUUUUUAUUAAAAUUGUAUUAAGGUUUUUUAAUUUUUUUGUAUUACAAUUUUUAUUUGUAUUUAUUGAAAUUAUUAAUGACAAAUUCUCUUAUUCGUUUAGAUGACAAGCACAUUUCGACCGUUCAAUUGCAAAUGGUAAGAAUUUUUUUAUUACUUUUAAUCUAAUCUAAUUUAAUUAUUUUGUUGUUAUAUUGAAAUUUAAGAUUUUGUAUUUUUUUUUAUAAUUAGCUAGAAGAUCGGAUUUUGGAGACGUACAUUCGCAAUCUAUCUACUCCUUUAUCGUUUUUAAUCGAACCAUACUUGUGAGAUGCAAGAUUUUUGCACAUCGCCCGUAUGGGUAAGGGGUGCAAAUUGGAACUCGAACUUGUAAGCGUGUUGGUGGAAAGAUGGUUAAAGUCUUAUUGGUUUGAGAUGUGAAAUUGGACUUAUAUUUUGUGAUGUUUUCACUUAGGUCUUAAGAUCAACUAUACUUUGUUAAAUGACAAGAUGAAACUAAAAAGGUAUGAGCUUGUAGGAUUCUGCCUACAAGGUCGCGACACUAGCUUUCAACAUUACUACGUCCUUUGUUUGAGGUCGCAACGUUAACUCAUUGUUUUCAAAGUCGCGACAUUGCACCAUCAAAGUCAUGACACCAUGUUUCUGCCAUUGAUGACGUGACGUGAAACCUUCAUGGUGGCGACGCCAACUCGAUAAAACUUGAUAACUUUGCAUUUUGGUCCUCAUAUGGUCUCGGGUUAUCAUAGGAGCUUUCAUAAGCUUGUAUAAACCCAAAUAUGAGUUGGAAGAAUGUUUUAUUGAUGUUUUAUCUGAAAUAACUUAUAUAAAAAAUGUCCUUUUUUGAAAGAACAAUUUUGUAUGUUGAUAUGUGAGGGUGAGUUACAAUAUAAAUGCAAGAGGUAGAAAAGAAAAAUGAAUGCUCUUAUUAUAGCUCCUAGUUGUUUACAUUGAUUUCACUCUUUAGUAAUUGUGCUUACUUCAAGAAGGAAAAAAUAAUGCUCAUAGCCUACACUUUGCACCCUUUUCUUUGAAUUAUUAUUAGCUUAAAUUGUCUAGUCACCUAUUUUAAGAAGUUAUUUAAUUUAAUAAUUUUCGAUAGCUUAAUUGCAAUUAGUGAUGUUUAUGAAUUGGGUUGGGUCGGAUUUGGGUCGAACUCAUGCAACGUAUUUAAAUCAAUUCUCUAAGUUCGGGACCGACUCAGUCCAGAAAAUGGACUUACUUUUUUGUUCAAACUCGAUCCGAUUUAAGAAAAGUAAAUCUGUGCUUGACCCACCCAUAUUUAAAAUCUAGUUGGAUUUUAAUAUAAGUGUUGAAUGCAUGUGUUUGAUUUAUAUAAUUAUAUAUUUUUUCAUAUUCAUAUUCAAAUUUUUAGUAGAUGAGCUGGGGCGUCACCUCAUCCUGUAUUUCUUUCCAAUUAUUUAAUGACACUUCAACAAUUCUUUUCACGUCAUUGAUACAUAAUUUUGGUAAUUUUUUAAACCCCUAAACCUUGAAUUUUGAACCCAAAACCCCAAACCCCAACUCAAACCCCAACCCUAAAUCUUAAACACUGACCUCUAAACUUGACCAAUUAAUUAAAAGUUGUAAUUUCCCAUUGAUAAGGGUUAUAAGUUGAAUUAAUUAUUCUAAGUUAUUUGAAUGGUUUAAUUAAAUGAAAAUUAUUAUUUAGAUCAAUAAACAAACCAAACAAAUCUAAACUGAGAAAAAGCUAAAAUGUUGGAUUAGUCGUCGGCUUCGUUUUUACAAUUGUUUUUGUCGAGGUAAGUUCAUAUAAAGAUUUAAAUUCAUUAAUUGAUGUUCUGAAUGUAGUUUUGAUAAAUAUUAUACUAUGUAUAGAUUAGAUUGAUAGUUAUUUGAUGUUUUGGUAUUUCAGAUAUAAUCAUAAUGAUAGCUAAAUUGAAUGUUAUAAUUGAAAAAUGUACAUUUCAUGCUCACGUGGCAAAUAUAAAAAAAUCCAUAUUUUUUAAAUUUAAAAGAAAUAAAAUGUGCAUUUUAAUUACAUUAAUUAAAAUUAAAAUUUUAUGUUGUUGAUUUGGAACUACGUAGCAAAUUGUUAAAAAUCUUUAUUGAUUUAAAAAAAAUUAAAAAAAUUAUAGAUUUUUUAAAGUUUUUUAACACUUGAUAAUUUUAUUUAUUUUUAGAUUUUUUUAAUUUUUUGAAGUUUUUUUUUUAAAUUUUGUACUCUUCUAAAAUGAAUUUGUACAACUGUUUGUGCAAAUUUAUUUGAAUAUGAAGAACUUAUUGUUUAGAUUCAUUCUAUAUGCAUAUUUUAUUUUAUUUUUUAAAAAGAUUUUAUAUUUUCAAAAAAUAAUUAUUCAAAAUAAAAAAAAAUAUUUUUUUUGCUGACUAGGCAUGCUAGGUUAGCAUACUACCACAUGGCAAAUUUUAGUGGUUUUUGUCAACCAUGUUAAUGGUUAAAUCAGUCAAGUGACAGUUUCUGUUAAUGAAAGGAACCAAUAAAUUUUUUUAUUUUUUAUUGAGAUUUUUUUUUGACCCUUGGCAAAAGAAAAUUACUUGUGCUAAUUGUAAGAAUUGACAUAAGUAACUUUAAGGACUAAUAUGAUAAUAAAAAAAAAGUUAAAUACGUCAUGUAAGUAUUUAUUAUCCAAAUAAUUUCCAUAUCUAUUUAUUAAUUAAAAUAUUCUAUAAUCCCAUAACCAAUUAACCAAUUAACCGACCUUAGCUAAGUUGGUAGAGCGGAGGACUGUAGUAGAAUAUCCAAACAGCCAUCCUUAGGUCGCUGGUUCGAAUCCGGCAGGUCGGAUAUUGCCCUUUUUUUUUUUUUUACAAUUUAUUUAAAAGAAUAGGUUAAAUUUUGCUUUUAGUCCCUAUACUUUACUUGGUACUUUUUCAAAUUUUAAAGUUGCUUUGCAUCACUUUUUCACCUUAUUAAGAGAAUAGGUUAAAUUCUACUAUUAGUCCUGAUCAAAUUGUAACUGUUAAAUAAAUUAGUUUUUGUUAUUUCUAAAAUUUGAAAUGAGAAAUACAUUAUCACAUAUCUAUUAUUUCCAAAGAUGAUAUCAGUUUAAUUCAAUCAAACUUUUUUAGAAUUUUCGAACCAUCCAUCAUACUUUAAUUUAGUAAAUGAAUCAUAAUAAAAUGAUAAAAAUAAAUCAUAUUUAUAAUUAAAUAUUUAUUAAGAAAUGAUAAAAAUUUAUAUAAUUUUUUUUAUAAAAGAUGUAUUCAAUAAAUGAAUACUUAUGUAAAUUCUUAUCAAUUUCGGUUUCAAUCUUUAUUUAAAAAUACUAUUUUUGUAAUUGUUUUAUUUAAAAUUUUGAAUAAAAAUAAUAAAAGAUAAAAGAUACUAUUUUUAAAUUAAAAUUUACAAUAUAUCAAUUUUUUUAUAUAUUUUUUACAAAUUCUUUAAUAAUGAUUAGAAUUUUUUUAUCACUAUAUUUCAAAUAUCAAAAUAAUUUAUAUCUAUUUAUUAUUUAAUUAAUUAUUAUUUUGAAUAAUGUUACUUUACAUUAAUCACAACAUGAUAAAAUGCUUUAAUUAUGAUUUGAAUUUUUUAUUAUAAUAUUUGAAUGAUUAAAUAAGUUAAUGUAUUUUAAUUAUAUUCAACCAUUCAAAUAAAGCAUAUUAUUGAACCUCAUGUGAUGGCUUGAUGGUCAAAGGUGUUCAUUGUCCUAGGUGUGACUUGAGUUCAAGUCGCGUUGGUUGUUUGGGCUUUACCUUGCUAUUGUAAUUCACAAAAAAAGGAAUAUUAUUUUAAACUAAUUAUGAUAAUUAUAAAAAAAUAUUUAAAAAAUUAAUUAAAAAUUAAACACAUAAAAUCACAUUGUAAUUAUAAAAAUUAAUUUGCAAAAAAAAAAAAAAAACUGUUGUUUUGCUGCCAUUUCACUGUUAUGUUGUUAUUGUUUGCAUAUUGUAUAAUUCUUGUUUUAUUGUUAAUUUAUUACUAUUUUAGAGGCAUUUGUUUGUUAAGUUACACCUAUCUUAGUGUUAUUUAAGUAUAAAAACAUUUUUAAAUUUAUUUUCAGUUUGUUGAGAAAUAUUUAUUUUACUGUUUUUAGUAUCUUUCAUGUUUUUUUUUUAAAAAUUAACAUAGACCGAAUUAGGUUCGGGUUUAACAUCUAUAAAACGAACCUAAAAUUUUGUUAGGACCGACUUGAACCCGACCCGACACAGGUAUAGUUUAAACCCUUGAAACAUCAUUUUCUCCGAUGUGGAGUCAUAGUUUAAAAUGUCCUCACACAGCUGCACCAAAAUGGCAUGGUGGAGUGGACACAUGCCUUUCUUCUACAAGCCUUCGUGCCUCUGAUGUUUUGGAAAGAUGCGCUUUAUUCUACGACCUUUAUAAUCAAAAUACUUACUUCAAAGGCUAUUCAUCACAGGAACUCCUCAUGAAAUGGUCUUUGGAAGCAAGCUAGAUUAUGGUUAUCUAAAGGUCUUUGGCUGUAAGUGUUUUCCUUACCUUAUACCUUUCAAUAAAAAUAAACUUGAAUCUCAUUCAAUGCCUUGAACAUGCCUUGGUUAUUGUUCAAAUCACAAAGGUUACAAGUGUCUUACAGAUGAUGGGAGGGCCGAUAUGGUAUUACGUGAAUCAAUAAAUUCGAUACGGGUAUGAGUAAUGGUAUGAAUCGAAAAGGAAAUGAAUAUGUUCUUAGUAGUAGAAACUAUGGUAUUAUUUGGUUAUAUUAAAUUGUUGAAUGCAAUAUUUGUAUGAAUUGAUAUACAAAGCUAUUAUGCAUAUAUCAUAUCUUAAUGAAAUGUGUAUUGGCUAAAGGCUGAAUUGGAAUUGAUUGUGCAUAAUCUCGGUUUUGAUAUAUGCAUGUUAAUAGUUUUGGUUGAAUUAACUUGAAUCAUAAAAGUAUUGUUGAGCUUUAUCACUUAGCGUAUGGUUUGUUUAUUCCAUGUGCAGAUAUCCAUAAAUCUUGAAGCCUCGAGAGGUGAAACAAUGUCCAAAUUGUUGAUUCUGGACUCAGAAAUGUUUGCACAAUUCUCACAUUUCAAUAGAUGACAUGUACCUAAAAUUGGACCGAUUUUUAGGUUAUAAAUGGUCAAAUUAGUGUAAUUGAAUAAUGUAUGGAAAUGAAUAGUUCAUGAAAUUGGACCUAUAUAUUGUGAUGUUUGUCAUUUAGGUCUUAAGAUCAGCUAUACUUUGUUAAAUGGCAAGUUGAAAUUACAGAGUUAUGAGCUUGUAGGAUAUUCAGCCUACAAGGUCGUGACACCAGCUUUCAACGUCACGGCGUCUCCUGUUUAAGGUCACGAUGUCAACUCCCUGUUUUCAUUGCGACAUUGCACCAUCAGAGUCGCGACACCAUGUUUUUGCCAUUGAUGUCGUGACGUGAAACCUUCAUGGUGGCGGCGCCAACUCGAUAAAAUUUAAAAACUUUACAUUUUGGUCAUCAUGUGAUCUCAGAUUAUCAUAGGAGCUUUCGUAAGCUCUUAUAACCCCGGAUAUGAGUUGAAAUAAUGUUUUAUUGAUGUUUUAUCUGAAAUAACUUGUAUAAAUUAUUGAAUGGAUCGAUAUUGUAUUCCUAGUUACUUUGACAAUGAAUGUGACAUCCCGUAACUCGGACCCGACGAUCAGGUCGGAUAUAGGGUGUUACAGAUUCUUUAAAAGAAAUUAGUUUUAGAUGUAUUUGAUGAUAAAAUUAAAUCAACUAGAUUGAUAUGACAGUUUUAUUAUUUUAAAAAUUAUAUUAAAAAUGUAUUUUUGAUAUUUAAAUUAAAAUGAAAAUAUUUUUAUUAAUAAAUAUUAAUUGUAUAGGUCAAAUUUUGCUAUUGACCCUAUAUUUUGCAUAAGUUGUAAAUUUAAUACCAAUAAUUUAAUUUCGUUAUUUUCAGUCUCUAUGCUUUUAGAAUUUGAAAAUUUCAGUCCAGUAAUUAUAAAAUUCAUUAAGUUCUGUUAUUUUCAAAAUCUGAUAAGUCAAAUAUAUUAUCGCAUGUGUAAUGUUAUGUCAGCUUGUUAGUCUCAUAUAUUACUCACAAAAAAUUCAGUUAAUAGAUUUAAUGAGUGUUGUUUACAUUAAGACUAAAAUUUCGAAAUUAAAAGGAAUAUAAUGACUAAAAUUGAUCCAAUUGGAGAAUAUAAACCAAAUCUAUGACUUUACGAUUCAUACAUGAUUAAUAGCAUAAUUUAACUAAACAAAUUUGACUGUUACCAUUUGAUUAGGACUAAAAUUAAUCAAAUUAAAGCGCAAAUAUUAAUUUCAUAACUUAUAUAAAAGUACAUGGACUAAUAACAAAAUGUAACCAAUUUUAAUGUCCUUUUUUGAAAGAAUAAUUUUUUAUGUUGAUAUGUCAGGUAGAGGUGCUCAUGGGCCGGGCCCGGCCGGGUUCGGGCCAAGCCCAUAAAAAAUUUCGGCCCGGCCCGAAAUAUGGGCCUGAAAUUUUGUCCAGGCCCAGGCCCGGCCCGGGAAAAAAAUCAUAAGCCCGGGCCCAGCCCGGCCCAUUUUUUAAAUAAAUACCAAAAAAUUAUUUUAAAAAUUAAAAAAAGUAUUUUAAAAUACUUUUUAAAAUUUUAUAUUUUAAAAUUAAAAAAAUUUUAAAAAUAUUUUAAAAAUAUUUUAAAAUUAAAAAAUAAUAAAAAAGUAUUUUAAAAUUAAAAAAUUUAAAAAAUAAAUAUAUUUAUUAUAUCGGGCCGGGUCGGGCCCGGGCCAAAAAACUGGUGCCCGAGGCUGGGCCCGUUUUCUAAACGGGCCUAGUUUUUUUGCCCAAUCCCAUAUUUCGGGCCUAUAUUUUUACCCAAACCCUCCCAUAUUUCGGGCGGACCGUCGGGUAAUGUCAGGGUGAGUUACAAUAUAAAUGCAAGAGGUAGAUAGGGGUGAACAAAAUUCGAUUCUAUUCGAUUCGAAAAACUCGAUAAAAAAACUAAAUUUUGAAUUAACUAGUUUGAGUUAUUCGGAUCAACUCGAAUAAAAAAAUUAAAAUUUCCGGUUUAACUCGAAUAUGAAUUACACAAUUCGAGUAAACAGAAAAUCUAAAUAAGAAAAGACAAAACCACGUCGUUUUGGUAAAUGUUUAUCUUUUCUAAAGUUAAAAGUCAAAACCAUUAAAUUAAAAGGCAAAACUAUUUUGUUUUGAUAAAUGUUUACCAAUCAGUCUUACUUAUGUAAUUAAAUAAUCUUGUACUUCGUCUACUAGUUAAAUAAUCAAUCCAUAUAAACACAAUAUUGAGUAUAAAUAAUGUGAUUCGUUAACUCGACUUCAAAUUUUUUCGAUUCGAAAACUAUUCAAAUUAAUUUAAUUACCAAAAAAAAUUCGUCAACUCAAUUAAUUUAAAAUUUUUUAAGUCGAUUUUACUCGACGUGACUCAACGCUGAACGGUCAGAUUGUUUAAAUUGAAUUCACUCAGUAGUAACUGUGCUUACCUACUUGCCACUUGGACGACAGACUUUCGACCAACUUAUUUAUGUGUAUUUAAUUUUCUGCAGUUUGUGUUCAAAUUAAAGCGUACUUCAAAAAUGAAAAAUUUAAUGCUCCUAGCCUUAGCUUUUUCUUUGAAUUAUUAUUAUUAUUAUACUUAAUUAAAUAACUCUUGUUAGCUUAAUUACAAUUAGAGAUAUUCAUGUAUUGGGUCGAGUUAAGUUUGGAUUAAGCGCAAAUAAAGUAUUUAGAUUACUUCUUUAAGUUCGGGUUCAGCUCAAUCCAAAAAAUAAGUUUAUUUUUUAUCCAAACCUUUAAAAAAAAAACUCGAAUCUAACCCGAUCAUAUUUAAGUUUUUUAAAUUAAUUUUUAUUUAAAAAUAGUUUUUUUUACUUUUAUUUAUUUUUUAUCCCUCUAAAAUAAUUUUUUUAACUUCGUCCUUAGUGUUGGAUAUAAAUAUAAAAGAAUAACCAUAAUUGAUGCUUUGAAUGUGUUCUCCAUUCAUGUAUUUAAACUGGUUUUUUUGGUAAAAAAAUAUUUUUUAACAGGUAUGAUUUGAUAAUAUUAAAAUCUAGCUUCCAAAUGAUUAGAAUCAGAAUUUCACUGUUGAGAUUUUUUAAGAAAUUGACUCUUAAAUGUACUAUUUUUUUCCUUUGAAAAGACAGUAUAAAUAGGAGAUUAUUCCUUAAACUUCUCCCAUUAUUUUAUUCUUGGUGUUUUGCGGAAUUACACGAGAGAGAAAUUUUGUUAGGAGAUUGGGUUUUAAACCAGACCGUCUGUGAACCCUCUAAUCUUUCAUGGGAAUUGAACCUAGUCUGGUUUCGUUGGUUUUCUUUUAGCUUAUUUUUCGAUCAUAUUUUCAACCAACUGCUUUUGUUUUUUUCAAUUUUGAUUCCUUUAUUAGAAGAGCAAUAUCAAUUAUGUUCCACAUUCUUUAUCCGGGUAUAUAGAUAUUGAAAUACUGUGUUAACCUUGGGGCGACGUCCACUAUACGAUUACACAGAUCAGAACAAAUUUGCUUUUAAGACAGUGAUUCUUCCACAGCACGAUGAUUGCUCUAUUUAUUUAGACUCAGCUUGAUUUCCUAUUAGCGCUAAACAGUUUUAUUUUAUAGUAGUAUAUUUUUAACAUUAAUAACAUGAAAACAUUACUGAAAUAUCAUUAAGAUGAGGCAAUUAUUUCUAAUGAAAAUGAUUUCCAAUAAAUAAUAUUUUAAACACUAACUGAUAAAAAAAAUUGAAAAGAAAAGAAAAACUAAUAAUCCGGCCAACAUAGCAAUCCAACAGCAAUGCUUAAAAAUACCUGAAAGACGAAAUAUAAAAGUAGAAACCAUAUACUACUGAAAAUACCUUAUUCAUAGUAGAGGAGAUUUUAUUGAUCAUCAAAGUGUUUCCAGAGACGCUUACAAGCUUGAAAUCUGGGGACUUGGAGAAGCAAAGUUUAGGAAUUCAUGAUCUUUUUGUAGUGCAGACAUUUUGGUUUCAUCUAAGGUUAUCCAAGCUUCUAUUCCUUUCCCAUAUUUGGUUUCAACGAGAACAGUGAAGUUUCUAAAUUCAGGCCCUGCUUUUCCCAGUAUUGCAAAUGAACAAGGUUGCCCCCAUCCGAAAUCUAGUUUGUGAAAAUCAGUAUUGAUCCAGCUGGUGAAGGCGAAAAUAUCAGGUUUUUCAAAGGAAAACAACAGCUCCAGCUGGUUCAAGUGCUCAGCGAUGGCUUCAAACCCUUGUUCACCUUGGAUUGAUCUCAUGUAUUCGUCGUCGAAAACAGCAAUGGAUUGACUCAUCAACUCGACCAAUGUGGAUAACUCGGUGCCUGUCUCGGCUGGAUUCGAGAGUGCACUCGCCCACCAAAAUACAUUCCCAACCGAACCAUCUAAUGUCGUAAGCUUCCCUUUUGACCUCAUGUUCACUGCUUGGACAACAAUGGAUGGUUUCAAGGUUCCUUGUAUCGCCCUGGAUGCCGCCAUUGAACAUUUCCAGAUGAAACCAGAGACAGCUUCGGUUCGUGUCGGUGUAGUCUCGACUUCCCCUUUUGCCAUGUCCUUUAGGAUGGCUACUGCUUCCUCAUUAAACACAAAUUUCCGUGUAACAAAAUUACCUUUGGUGAACCAUAAGUUUUCCAUCAUGGAUAUGUAAUUCUUGGGCAUUGGAUUUUUAGGUGGAAAGAUCAAGGAGGCCUUAGAUAAGGCAGGAAAUUUAAUUUCAGGGUGGUAUCCUUGGCAGAUUGUUCUCCAAACAAAGGUGAAAAUGAAGCCUGUUUUGGCGUCAGUGAUUUUAUGUGAGGCGCAGAUGCCUAAAGCUACUCCCCCACAUGCAAACAUGGUGACUUGACAAACCAAGAGAGGACCCUGAUGAUUUGAUUCCUUGUAGAAAGGAGGGCAUGGGAGCAAGUUGUUCAAGGUCUCAAUUUGAUGAUGCCUGAGAAACUCGGAUAAUCGACAACCGAUUCGAGCCGAUAAAAACGGAACACCGGCGUCGAAAUCAUGGAUGAACAUGUUACUAAAGAUUCUCCCAGAGAAGGGAUAUAAGAUGUUUAGGGUUUCUGAAAGAGAUUUCUUCAGCUGAGUCAAAAUAUUGGAGGUGUUGGUAUCACUCGGGGGAUAAAAUAAUAUGAUUGGAACAUAAGUGGUGGGAGUUAGCUGAUCAAAUACACAGAGUUUGAAGGGUUCUUUUAGAUGAAUUUCUGGGGAAGAUGGUUUGAUGAUUUCUUUUGAAAGAAUCUGAGCCUCAAACUUCAUCAUUUCUUUGUUUUUUUUCCCUCACC
rnacentral:lncRNA from 1 species